rnacentral:rRNA from 1 species
UGAGGAAUUUUGCGCAAUGGGGGAAACCCUGACGCAGCAACGCCGCGUGGGUGAUGAAGGCCUUCGGGUCGUAAAGCCCUGUCGGGCGGGAAGAAGGGGUUUUGGGCAAACAGCCCGAGAUUUUGACGGUACCGCCAGAGGAAGCACCGGCUAACUCCGUGCCAGCAGCCGCGGUAAUACGGAGGGUGCGAGCGUUAUUCGGAAUUACUGGGCGUAAAGCGCGUGCAGGCGGAAGGAGCAGUCUGAUGUGAAAGCCCGGGGCUUAACCCCGGAAGAGCAUUGGAAACCAUCCUUCUUGAGUGCUGGAGAGGAAGGGGGAAUUCCCGGUGUAGAGGUGAAAUUCGUAGAGAUCGGGAGGAAUACCAGUGGCGAAGGCGCCCUUCUGGACAGUCAAACUGACGCUGAGACGCGAAAGCGUGGGGAGCAAACAGG